GUCAGUGUGGUGUAGUGGUUUCAGCGUUGGACUAUGACUCUGGAGACCAGGGUUUGGAUCCCUGCUCAAUCA